UGCCCAGCAACUCCUAUCCCUACCUCCUCACGGUACUGGCCGGGGUACGAGUAACCUUAGGGAAGAUCGGGUAACCAACCCCCGGUGGGAACUUUGGUCGUAUGCUGACAGGGAAGG
rfam:Aedes aegypti strain Liverpool supercont1.1202 genomic scaffold, whole genome shotgun sequence.